ACGGGAGGCAGCAGUCGGGAAUAUUGCGCAAUGGAGGAAACUCUGACGCAGUGACGCCGCGUAUAGGAAGAAGGUUUUCGGAUUGUAAACUAUUGUCGUGAGGGAAGAAAUUGACAGUACCUCAGGAGGAAGCUCCGGCUAACUAUGUGCCAGCAGCCGCGGUAAUACAUAGGGAGCAAGCGUUGUCCGGAUUUAUUGGGUGUAAAGGGUGCGUAGACGGGAAACCAAGUUGGUUGUGAAAUCCCUCGGCUUAACUGAGGAACUGCAACCAAAACUAGUUUUCUUGAGUACUGGAGAGGAAAGUGGAAUUCCUAGUGUAGCGGUGAAAUGCGUAGAUAUUAGGAGGAACACCAGUGGCGAAGGCGACUUUCUGGACAGUAACUGACGUUGAGGCACGAAAGUGUGGGGAGCAAACAGGAUUAGAUACCCUGGUA
rnacentral:rRNA from 2 species